AGAACUUCCAAACACCUGAACCGCAGCAGCCAGGCGUCCCUCCAGAGCCGCCUCCCCCAGGAGCUUGCUACAAGUGCCAGAAAUCUGGCCACCAGGCCAAGGAAUGCCUGCAGCCCAGGAUUCCUCCUAAGCCUCCUCUCGUCUGUGCAGGACCCCACUGAAAAUCACACUGUUCAACUCACCUGGCAGCCAUUCCCAGAGCCCCUGGAACUCUGGCCCGAGGCUCUUUGACUGACUCCUUCCCAGAUCAUCUCAGCUUAGCAGCUGAAGACUGAUGCUGCCCCAUCGCUUCGGAAGCCCCGUAGACCAUCAAGGAUGCCGAGCUUUAAGUAACUCUCACAGUGGAGGCUUGAUGAACACCUGUUUUCGAAGUCCUGAAUCUGUAGUCAUAAGAUUCAGCCCUGUUUCCUUCCAAAUCUUGACUUCAUAUUCAAACUAGAGAAUAAAAAUUUAAAAACAGGCCCUUGUGCCUAGGAUGUAGAAAAAUUACUAAUUGUUUUCCUAUGUCCCACGUAAAAUACCAAACAGUUUUUAACCAUUAUGAAAAUGUAUCGUAAGACAGCUUCAAAAUAAAGUAUUUUCAUGUAAGUUUAAAUAUUAUGGCUAUUUUUC
rnacentral:lncRNA from 10 species